rnacentral:rRNA from 1 species
ACACGUAGCUAACCUACCCUCGGGACGGGUACACCCCCGGGAAACUGGGGCUAAUACCAGAUAGGCGUGGAGGCCUGGAAUGGUUCCACACCCAAAUGCAGUAAGACCAUGUUCUUACCGUGCCCGAGGAUGGGGCUGCGGCCGAUCAGGCAGUUGGCGAGGUAACGGCUCACCAAACCUUUGACCGGUACGGGCCAUGAGAGUGGUAGCCCGGGGAUGGGCACUGAGACAGGGGCCCAGGCCCUACGGGGCGCAGCAGGCGCGAAACCUCCACAAUAUACGGAAGUAUGAUGGGGUUACCUCGAGUGCAGUCCGAUAAGGGCUGCUUUUCCAUAGAGUAAUAUCCUGUGGGAAUAAGAGGGGGGCAAGACUGGUGUCAGCCGCCGCGGUAACACCAGCCCCUCGAGUGGUGGGGACUUUUAUUUGGCCUAAAGCGUCCGUAGCCGGCUGUGUCCGUUAUCCGUUAAAUCCGGCGUCUUAAGCGUCGGACUGCGGGUGAUACCACACAACUAGAGGGUGGGAUAGGUAAGCGGUAUUUCUGGGGUAGGGGCGAAAUCCUUUGAUCCCAGGAGGACCACCAGUGGCGAAGGCUGCUUACUAGAACACGCCUGACGGUCAGGGACGAAAGCUGGGGUAGCGAACCGGAUUAGAUA